AGACCAGACUCCUACGGGAGGCAGCAGUGAGGAAUAUUGGUCAAUGGGCGCGAGCCUGAACCAGCCAAGUCGCGUGAGGGAUGACGGCCCUACGGGUUGUAAACCUCUUUUGUCGGGGAGCAAAUUCCGCCACGUGUGGCGGAGUCGAGAGUACCCGAAGAAAAAGCAUCGGCUAACUCCGUGCCAGCAGCCGCGGUAAUACGGAGGAUGCGAGCGUUAUCCGGAUUUAUUGGGUUUAAAGGGUGCGUAGGCGGUUUGUCAAGUCAGCGGUAAAAUCGCGGGGCUCAACCUCGCUCCGCCGUUGAAACUGGCGUUCUUGAGUGGGCGAGAAGUAUGCGGAAUGCGUGGUGUAGCGGUGAAAUGCAUAGAUAUCACGCAGAACUCCGAUUGCGAAGGCAGCAUACCGGCGCCCAACUGACGCUGAAGCACGAAAGCGUGGGUAUCGAACAGGAUUAGAUACCCCCGUAUG
rnacentral:rRNA from 1 species